GUUCUGCUUUCUGAGCUCCGGGAUCUACGGUCUAGUGCGGCUGGAGGUUUUCUCUCCUCUUCCUUUGUGUGGUCUACGCCGGCGCGGUCCAUUGGGUGGAGGUGUUGUGCGGCGGAGUAGCAGCGGCGCUCCAAGUUUUCUUUCCUGAUUUGGUUCCGCUGGCGGCUUUGUGAACUAAGUUGCGGGCUCUGUGUUUUGUUCCGUUGUUGCGGUUGGAAAGUAUGACUGGUAGUGAGUAUCAAGAUUUCCAUCGGUGGUAAGGAGCUUGAGCGGUCAACAGACGUGGUGUUGGCGCUUUGUACUCUAUUCCAUUCUCGCGAGCUCUGGGUUGAGCUCGUUCCUGGAGCUCUACAACCUUGUGUGCAAGGUUCCCUCGAUCUUGUGAAUUUGCGUGGGUGUAGAAUCGGGGUUGGUUCUGUUGGUGCUCUGUGGCUGCUGGCGGCUUGACGAGCUGAGGCGACGUAGUGGUUUCGACCAGUAAUGUGGGUGGAGAAGCGCGAAGUUGUCGAGCUUGUAGUUUUGGUGCACUCAGAAGCUGCAUUGACGAAGUGAUUUUUUUUGUAUUCCCUUCCUUCCUUGUCCUAGUAGAGUUGAGAUCAUUCUUUCCCUUCCCUUGUCAACUGGUGGUGUUCAUGCAGUCGACAAGAACUUGUGGCGGAGUUAAUCUCCGUGUUGGUCUGUUGAGCUGCGAGGGCAGCACACAAGUGUAAAAUCAAGGCGGCGGUUCUGCAUCCUUGAUUUAAUCCAUGUCCAAAUAGUGCUGCCGACUGCUGGAGUUGGUCAACAAUCGGCGGCAGAACUGAAUGCUGUUUAAAGCUGGCUCUGCUUUAAAGUGUCUUGUUCAUGGUCUAGCCGUCCUCAAUCUUUAGUGCAAUCUAUUAGAUUUGCCGCACUCUUGCAGCUUUGUAUGUGUUUCCAAUUUUCCAGUAUUGAAUGCUUGCGGUGUACUGCAAACGGGUCCAUUCAAGCCGACUGGAUUCUUCCGCAUCAAAUUACUGUUAUUGUUUGGGCGCGCGAGCCGAGAUAAGUGCACAAUUGGAAUCGUGAAUUAGAUUUUUUGUUUUGUAUCCGUGUGUUGGCUACUUUGCACGAAGUCUUGCCCACACCGGCUUUGGAAUGGCUCACUCGUUGGUCGGAAGAGGUUGUUGUGCUGGUUCACAAGGGUUUAUGCAAGGGUGGAGGAUACUUAGGAAGUUAUAAAGGAGUUUGCAUAUGUACUAUCGACAUGAACAGAUGCUGUGAAUUGGAGGGUUAACGCCCGAGCCUCUUUUUUCAGUAGAACCAUUCGUCAGGGUUAAAGUGGACAACAUGUGCAAGCCGUCUUGGGCUCCUCGCUUUUCAGCGAAGGACAAAAUCCGAAGUGUUUUUCUUUUGAAGUCCACCUUUUGAUUGCCUUUGAGAAUUUGACUACCUCGUCGCGACUCUCAACCAUUGUGGAGGUUCACCGAAUCUGCAAAAAAUGUUGUAUUGCUCAACUUCAAACCCCUUCUUUAAAUUGUUGCAUUAUUGAUUUGGAGGGCAGAUCCAAGUACACCUGUGACUUAAUCACACUAAUGUGAUUUAUUUAUCACUAAGCUCAGGUCUUGCUUAUAUGAGUGCAUAUCCUAAAAAAAGGAAGCUGUCAAUCCUGACUGCUGAGAGUCUUGAAGAGCCUCCUACCUUCCGCAUCUCGUUUGGAGGUGUUGAGGUUGUAUAUGCAACGGUGAUUGACAACCUCUUUGGCAGUUCGUGCUUCCACUCUUGAGGCACGUGUGGAAAGGGUUCUUCCCCACGACCAGCACCAGUAUGUGGGAAUUCCAAAGGAUAACCUAUGUGUGGGCAAUCAAUUGUAAUUGAAUGCAAUUCAUAUUGUAUAAAAGUUAAUUUUGGGUGACACAUUAGCUUGGA